GAUGAACGCUGGCGGCGUGCCUAAUACAUGCAAGUCGAGCGAACGGACGAGAAGCUUGCUCCUCUGACGUUAGCGGCGGACGGGUGAGUAACACGUGGAUAACCUACCUAUAAGACUGGGAUAACUUCGGGAAACCGUAGCUAAUACCGGAUAAUAUUUUGAACCGCAUGGUUCAAUAGUGAAAGACGGUUUUGCUGUCACUUAUAGAUGGAUCCGCGCUGCAUUAGCUAGUUGGUAAGGUAACGGCUUACCAAGGCAACGAUGCGUAGCCGACCUGAGAGGGUGAUCGGCCACACUGGAACUGAGACACGGUCCAGACUCCUACGGGAGGCAGCAGUAGGGAAUCUUCCGCAAUGGGCGAAAGCCUGACGGAGCAACGCCGCGUGAGUGAUGAAGGUCUUCGGAUCGUAAAACUCUGUUAUUAGGGAAGAACAUAUGUGUAAGUAACUGUGCACAUCUUGACGGUACCUAAUCAGAAAGCCACGGCUAACUACGUG
rnacentral:rRNA from 1 species